AGUUGUUAGAAUGGUGGUUAAAGGUC
rnacentral:sRNA from 1 species